rnacentral:rRNA from 1 species
AUUGAACGCUGGCGGCAUGCCUUACACAUGCAAGUCGAACGGUAACAGGUCUUCGGAUGCUGACGAGUGGCGAACGGGUGAGUAAUACAUCGGAACGUGCCUAGUAGUGGGGGAUAACUACUCGAAAGAGUGGCUAAUACCGCAUGAGAUCUACGGAUGAAAGCAGGGGAUCGCAAGACCUUGUGCUACUAGAGCGGCCGAUGGCAGAUUAGGCAGUUGGUGGGAUAAAAGCUUACCAAGCCGACGAUCUGUAGCUGGUCUGAGAGGACGAUCAGCCACACUGGGACUGAGACACGGCCCAGACUCCUACGGGAGGCAGCAGUGGGGAAUUUUGGACAAUGGGCGCAAGCCUGAUCCAGCAAUGCCGCGUGCAGGAUGAAGGCCUUCGGGUUGUAAACUGCUUUUGUACGGAACGAAACGGUCUGCCCUAAUACGGUGGGCUAAUGACGGUACCGUAAGAAUAAGCACCGGCUAACUACGUGCCAGCCGCCGCAGAAA